UUAAGCCAAACAUCGAGCCGUCGUCAUGCUGAUCGCACCCAACUUCCGUCUCCAUCUGUCUUGUUAGGGUUCCAAAAUCGGAAACACGCACUCUCUCUCUCUGACUAUCUUACAUUCUAUUUUGUGAUCUAUGUGUGCUAUGGCGACUUUUGGGGCGAUGGAGGUAAAGGAGAAGCGGCGAGCUUGACAGAUCUGUAAUAUCUUUUCUUUGUAGUGGAUUUAAUAUUAAUUUUUCCUUGAGAGUUUUCUAAUUUUCUUUGGGUUUUUUCCCUUUUUUUUUUUUGGUUAGGGUGAUUGCUGGGCGCAGCGGUUUAUCGAUCUUUUCCUGGCCUUGUUGUCUCUAAUUUGGGGGGAUGAUUGGACGGUUAAGAAUACGAGGGUGCGAAUUGGUCGAUAAACCUCUGCAUCCGGUUAUCACUUUUUUCAAUUUUUUUUUUUGUUAUUGUUUCUGUUUUUUUUGUUUAAUUGAUUAAUGUUUCUGGUAUUUUAGUCUGAGAAGAUUAUUAACCUGCAAGUGUUGUGAGUUGGGAUGAGGGAACUUGGUUAAUUGGGCUAAGUCAGGGUUGUCAUUUCUGUUUUUAUUUUUUUAUGACUGUAUUUGUGGCUUUGAUUUCUUUUGUUAUUUUAUUUUUUUCCGGAGAUAAGAUGGCUUUCGUGGAGAUUUAGGCAUGAAUUUUAUUCGCAGAAGCAGAUUAUGGAGGCAUAUGUAGGCAAGUUCUCUGAGGCUCAUACAACUUAAUCCUAAUAGCUCCAUAUAUCUCUUUUUUUUCUUUGAACUUUGAAAUUUUUGAGACAGAUGGGAGUAUUUUUAAUUUUUUAUAUUUGAGGAUCAUAGGAUUUAAGUGAUAGUUUUGAAUUAAAAUUUUCUAAUGCCCCCGGGCAAACCACUGGAACAGUGAAGAAAAUGAAAAUGGAGUUAUAGUUGUCUUUUAACUUGAGGCAAUGCUCCCAACUGCCAUCAAGAAAAGCAUGGCUGACAGAAAAAACAAGUCAAAGUGCUAUUGUCAUUGAAAGUGAAGCUAUUCUCAGUGCUAUGAGGUAUAUAUAUAUAUCUGACCUAUCCUUGAAUUUUGAUAAAACAAAUAACCAUUCAUGUAGGCAGUGAAAGAUUAGGCUUUUCACGUUUUGUUUUGUAGAUUUUCACGAAGUAAUGUAGCAGUACAUUGUAAACCGAAGUGGGAGUACAUUCUAACUCAGGCUGUAGUUGUAGGAAUGUUGCUUCUACAUGAUAUUCUUUGAUGAUAAUUAGUUGGAUCAAUAAUUGAAUGAAAGUUUGUACCGAAAUGGUUAUUUUGUUAAUGAUUUUAUCAACUAAGUUUUAAAU